rnacentral:pre_miRNA from 1 species
CAAAUACUCCCUCCGUCCGGAAAUACUUGUCAUCAAAAUGGAUAAAAGGAAAUGUAUCUAGACGUAUUUUAGUUUUAGAUACAUCUAUUUUUAUCCAUUUUGAUGACAAGUAUUUUCGGACGGUGGGAGUAGAAA